UACGUAGGCAGCGAGCGUUGAUUCGGAAUUGUAACUGGGCGUAAAGAGUGUGUAGGUGGUGCUCUAAAUGUUCGGUUGUGAAAUCUCCUGGCCUCAACUGGGAGGGUGGCGCCCGGAAACUGGAGUGUCUUGAGCGUGGGAGAGGAAAGCGGAAGUUCCUGGUGUAGCGGUGAAAUGCGUAGAUAUCAGGAGAAACACCUGUGGUGAUAGACGGCUUUCUGGACCAUAGCUGACGCUGGAGACAACGAAAGCGUGGGUAGCAAACAGG
rnacentral:rRNA from 1 species